rnacentral:rRNA from 1 species
CAGUCGCCACGGGAAUACGUAGGGUGCAAGCGUUAAUCGGAAUUACUGGGCGUAAAGCGUGCGCAGGCGGUUUUGUAAGUCUGUCGUGAAAUCCCCGGGCUCAACCUGGGAAUGGCGAUGGAGACUGCAAGGCUAGAAUCUGGCAGAGGGGGGUAGAAUUCCACGUGUAGCAGUGAAAUGCGUUGAGAUCGGAAGGAACACCGAUGGCGAAGGCAGCCCCCUGGGCCAAUACUGACGCUCAUGCACGAAAGCGCGGGGAGCAAACAGGAUUAGAUACCCCUGUAGUCCCUGUCUCUUAUAC